UUUUCGCAAUCUGAAACCCUAGUUCCCAAAUCCAUCUAUUCUCACCUUUUCCAAUUUGUUACUUUGAUUCGCAUUGGCUCGUAUGAAGCAGACCGUUCGUAAGUCCACCGGUGGAAAGGCUCAAAGGAAGCAACUCGCUACCAAGCUGUUAAGAAAUCUGCUCCAACAACUGGAGGAGUGAAGACGCCUCAUCGUUAUCGUUCUGGAACUGUCACACUACGGUGAAUUGGCCAAACAUGCUGUUUCCGAGGUUACUAAGGCUGUUACCAAGUUUACUAGCGCUUAGAGGAGAUUGGUUUGUUGGGUUAGGUUUUGUUUGGUUUAUGUAACUGGAUUUUGGUAAUUUGAUGUAAAGCUAGUUAAUGUUCAUUUAUUAGUUUGAGGUGCCUUGAAGUUGGACCGGAAGAAGAAGACAACAAGUAGAGAAAUAUGCUAUGACCGGAAAAUUGAAGAAAGUUUGUUUAUACACACUUAAAUGAAAGGGAGACUAGAAUUGUUGUCAGAUAAUACAUUACAAAAUAAUGUUCUUUAAUAUUGAAAUUAGGUGUAUGGUUUUUGUGUAGUUUGGAUUUUAUUGUGUUAUUUGAAUAAGUUGGUAUUUUAAUU
rnacentral:lncRNA from 1 species